UGAUGGUGUCAGUAAACUUUCCCAGCAGG
rnacentral:piRNA from 1 species